ACCGCUUCAUCAAAGUUUUUUCUUCGAUGCUUUUCCGCUGUACAUGUUAGUUAUCUUUAGAACAUGGAUAUCAGCAUAAACUAAAUCCAGAAAAGUUUUUUUUAAAAAAGAGCUAGGCUACUUGAAAGUACGUAGGCUUCCUUGCUUGUAAAUUAUUUUCGAUAAUGGAACAUCCUAUUCGACGAUUGCUUCCGUUAGACAUGAUUUACAGUGUUUGAACUAUUUAAAAAUCAAAUUUCAUAAUUUUCUUGACUUUCUUUGCCUAGUAAAAAAGUAGCCUCAAAAUAAACGACCGAAAAUAAAAAUCCCAUAAAAACCGUGAUAAAAGACUUAAAUUUCAAAUCGAAAGUUUUGAUCUUGUUCUUCAUGGUAAGUAGAAUUUUUUAAUUAAAAUUUGAUCUAAUUUAGAUUAUUCUACACCAUUGAACUUACAAACAUACUACAGUUUUGAUCUUGUUCACCACUCCGGUCAGUGGGGAGCUCUGAUGAGCCCUUUCCCCUCUCUCUCUCUCUCUCUCUCUCUCUCUCUCUCAAUCCCUCUUAUGUUUCUCUCUUUUUUCCCCCUCUCAGUGGUUAUGGCUUCCCAAUCGCUUGCCGCCGACCGACGGACCUCUGGCGACCCCUCUCCAGUGCUACCUCGCCGCCCUGAGCUCCCCCGAGCUCAGCUCUAGACAUGAACCCAAAAGAUCUUGUUUAGGUCCAGGAGACAUCUAGCCAUGUUGUUCAGUCGUGGACUCAAGUAUUCGGUACAUAGGACAAGGAAACCGGGAAGGAGCUCCUCCAAUGCCGUGCACUGGGAAGACACUUUGCCCUCUCGACCUUCUAAUGUUGCUAGUGUCAGGAAUAAAAUGGCUACUUUGUUCGCUUAUAAAUUUAAUAAGAGAAAUCUCUGGCGUAAUAGGUUAGAUCAUCCCAGUCAUGAAGUUUUGUCUAAGUUCAUUAGAGACAAUAAAGUUUUAGGUGAUUCUGACAUUAGAUUAUAUCAUUGCAAAUUUGCAAUGCAUGUAACACAAGUAAACAUGUGAGAUUUCCUUAUAAUAAAUCUGAUUCUCGAUUGACUUUUCCUUUUGAUUUAGUUCAUUCUAAUGUUUGGCAAUCUCCGGUUGAUUCUAUUUUUGGGUUUAAAUAUUAUGUUAUU